rnacentral:rRNA from 1 species
CAGCCGCCGCGGGAAUACGAAGGGGGCUAGCGUUGCUCGGAAUGACUGGGCGUAAAGGGCGCGUAGGCGGUUUUGACAGUCAGAUGUGAAAUUCCUGGGCUUAACCUGGGGGCUGCAUUUGAGACGUCAAGACUAGAGUGUGAGAGAGGGUUGUGGAAUUCCCAGUGUAGAGGUGGAAUUCGUAGAUAUUGGGAAGAACACCGGUGGCGAAGGCGGCAACCUGGCUCAUUACUGACGCUGAGGCGCGAAAGUGUGGGGAGCAAACAGGAUUAGAUACCCCAGUAGUCCCUGUCUCUUAUAC